rnacentral:rRNA from 1 species
GAGUUUGAUCUUGGCUCAGAGUGAACGCUGGCGGUAGGCCUAACACAUGCAAGUCGAACGGCAGCACAGAGGAGCUUGCUCCUUGGGUGGCGAGUGGCGGACGGGUGAGGAUACAUCGGAAUCUACUCUGUCGUGGGGGAUAACGUAGGGAAACUUACGCUAAUACCGCAUACGACCUACGGGUGAAAGCAGGGGAUCUUCGGACCUUGCGCGAUUGAAUGAGCCGAUGUCGGAUUAGCUAGUUGGCGGGUAAAGGCCACCAAGGCGACGAUCCGUAGCUGGUCUGAGAGGAUGAUCAGCCACACUGGAACUGAGACACGGUCCAGACUCCUACGGAGGCAGCAGUGGGGAAUAUUGGACAAUGGGCGCAAGCCUGAUCCAGCCAUACCGCGU